AUACGUAGGGGGCAAGCGUUAUCCGGAUUUACUGGGUGUAAAGGGAGCGUAGACGGUGUGGCAAGUCUGAAGUGAAAGCCCGGGGCUCAACCCCGGGACUGCUUUGGAAACUGUCAGACUAGAGUGCAGGAGAGGUAAGUGGAAUUCCUAGUGUAGCGGUGAAAUGCGUAGAUAUUAGGAGGAACACCAGUGGCGAAGGCGGCUUACUGGACUGUAACUGACGUUGAGGCUCGAAAGCGUGGGGAGC
rnacentral:rRNA from 1 species